UACAGAGGUGCCAAGCGUUAGGCGGAAUCACUGGGCUUAAAGCGUGUGUAGGCGGAAGCGUAAGUGCCUUGUGAAAUCCCACGGCUUAACCGUGGAACUGCUGGGCAUACUGCGUUUCUUGAGCCAGUCGGGGGUCGUCGGAACAAACGGUGGAGCGGUGAAAUGCGUAGAUAUCGUUUGGAACGCCGAAGGUGAAAACAGACUGCUGGGGUUGCGCCGACGCUGAGACACGAAAGCCAGGGGAGCAAACGGG
rnacentral:rRNA from 1 species